rnacentral:rRNA from 1 species
UAUCUGCAGUCGAGCGGUAAGGUUCUCACUCUGUACUUAAAUAUUUUGAGUAUGGUGUGAGAAUACACGAGCGGCGGACGGCUGAGUAACGCGUAGGAACGUACCCCAAAGUGAGGGAUAAGCCCGGGAAACCGGGUCUAAUACCGCAUGUGGUCUUCGGACUAAAGCAGCAAUGCGCUUUGGGAGCGGCCUGCGUACGAUUAGGUUGUUGGUGAGGUAACGGCUCACCAAGCCGACGACCGUUAGCUGGUCUGAGAGGAUGAUCAGCCAGACUGGGACUGAGAACGGCCCAGACUCCUACGGGAGGCAGCAGUAGGGAAUUUUCCACAAUGGGCGAAAGCCUGAUGGAGCAACGCCGCGUGCAGGAGGAAGGCCUUCGGGUUGUAAACUGCUUUUAUCUGUGAAGAUUAUGACAGUAGCAGAAGAAUAAGGAUCGGCUAAUUCCGUGCCAGCAGCCGCGGUCAUACGGAAGAUCCAAGCGUUAUCCGGAAUUACUGGGCGUAAAGAGUUGCGUAGGUGGCAAAGUAAGCGAAACAUGAAAUCUUGUGGCUCAACCAUAAGUCUAUGUUUUGAACUGCUUAGCUUGAGCAUGAGAGAGGUAGAUGGAAUUUCUAGUGUAGGAGUGAAAUCCGUAGAUAUUAGAAGGAACACCGAUGGCGUAGGCAGUCUACUGGCUCAUUGCUGACACUAAGGCACGAAAGCGUGGGGAGCGAACGGGAUUAGAUACCCCGGUAGUCCACGCCGUAAACUAUGGAUGCUAGCUGUUAUCAGUAUCGACCCUGGUAGUAGCGAAGCUAACGCGUUAAGCAUCCCGCCUGGGGAGUACGGUCGCAAGAUUAAAACUCAAAGG